UGAGGAAUAUUGGUCAAUGGGCGAUGGCCUGAACCAGCCAAGUAGCGUGAAGGAUGACUGCCCUAUGGGUUGUAAACUUCUUUUAUAUUAGAAUAAAGUGCAGUAUGUAUACUGUUUUGUAUGUAUAAUAUGAAUAAGGAUCGGCUAACUCCGUGCCAGCAGCCGCGGUAAUACGGAGGAUCCGAGCGUUAUCCGGAUUUAUUGGGUUUAAAGGGAGCGUAGGUGGACUGGUAAGUCAGUUGUGAAAGUUUGCGGCUCAACCGUAAAAUUGCAGUUGAUACUGUCAGUCUUGAGUACAGUAGAGGUGGGCGGAAUUCGUGGUGUAGCGGUGAAAUGCUUAGAUAUCACGAAGAACUCCGAUUGCGAAGGCAGCUCACUGGACUGCAACUGACACUGAUGCUCGAAAGUGUGGGUAUCAAACAGG
rnacentral:rRNA from 1 species